UGAAUCUGUUACAAAAGUAAAAAAAAAAAUCUCAAAAUUUGAGAAUUUGAAAGCCUGCCAAAGAUGCAUUUGAAAUUGAAACUUAAGUUAUAAUUAUUUCAACGCGACACUGACCUCUAAACUAGAAUGCACAUAUAUAAUAACGUAUCAAAACCAACAAAGGUAAACGUGAAGUGUGAACACAAGAGUCUCUCCAUCUUAUUUCUUUACUGAAAAAUAAGCACAAGGAAUCUGAACAACUUUGGCAAAAGGCAAAAAAAAAAGUUGAAAUAACCAGCCUAAAAACCA
rnacentral:lncRNA from 1 species